UACGUAGGGUGCGAGCGUUAAUCGGAAUUACUGGGCGUAAAGUGUGCGCAGGCGGCCGCGCAAGUCGAGUGUGAAAGCCCCGGGCUUAACUUGGGAAUUGCGCUCGAAACUACUUGGCUGGAGUGUGGCAGAGGAAGGUGGAAUUCCAGGUGUAGCGGUGAAAUGCGUAGAGAUCUGGAGGAACACCGAUGGCGAAGGCAGCCUUCUGGGCCAACACUGACGCUCAUGCACGAAAGCGUGGGGAGCAAACAGG
rnacentral:rRNA from 1 species